UACGUAGGGGGCAAGCGUUGUCCGGAAUCAUUGGGCGUAAAGCGCGUGUAGGCGGCCCAGUAAGUCCGCUCUGAAAGCCCGGGGCUCAACCCCGGGAGGCGGGUGGAUACUGCUGGGCUCGAGUCCGGAAGAGGCGAGUGGAAUUCCUGGUGUAGCGGUGAAAUGCGCAGAUAUCAGGAGGAACACCGGUGGCGAAGGCGGUUCUCUGGGAAUAUCCUGACGCUGAGGAGCGAAAGUGUGGGGAGCGAACAGG
rnacentral:rRNA from 1 species